rnacentral:rRNA from 1 species
UACGUAGGGAGCGAGCGUUAUCCGGAUUUAUUGGGUGUAAAGGGUGCGUAGGCGGCUUUUUAAGUCUGUGGUCUAAGUCCGAAGCUUAACUUCGGUUCGCCAUAGAAACUGAUUAGCUUGAGUAUAGUAGAGGCAAGUGGAAUUUCUAGUGUAGCGGUUAAAUGCGUAGAUAUUAGAAGGAACACCAGUGGCGAAGGCGACUUGCUGGGCUAUUACUGACGCUGAGGCACGAAAGCGUGGGGAGCAAAUA